rnacentral:lncRNA from 14 species
UCCAGUCUUGAAUUGGACAGGGAUGAUGCUGAUGGUGCCAUCUGCUUUCUACCUGAAAGCUCUUCCCUCACCUUGGACUCUGAAGGAUACAUGGCCCUCACCUCCACAUCCGCAGGCCAGCUGCCCUGUGAAGAGUGUCUGGAGGCAGACUCAGAGACUAUUCCUCUGCCUCGGUUCUGUUCUUCGGGUGCUCUCCUGAAGUCUUCCCUUCCGGAAGGAUCACCAGGGAGUGAGAGUGACUGGGAGGACCUGGAUGAGCCUGUGGAUGGGGAUGAGGUGCUCAGGUGGACACACUCAGCGCGAGUCUCCUGAGAUAGAACCCCGAGGGAUUCUUCACAGGCACUCUUUUGUGGGAGAGCCCUCAGCUGACUUCCGUCCAGGAAAUGUACCUGUUUGCUCAUCUCCCCUGGAAGAAGCAUCUUCGAGCCAACGGGCUAGGCUGGAGCUCCUGGGCUAGUUACCAAGGGCUAACUUCUGAGAGUUUGUGCCUGUUACUUCUGAGGCUCAUCACCAUUAGUAGCCACAACUUCCUCUUCCGUUCUAAAGCUUAAGUCAAGCAAAUUUUUGUGUGUAUGGAGUAGGUUUCCCCUCGUGAAGGGAAUUGAGAACUAAUUUCUUUACAUAAGAUAAGCCGGAGCAGAGGAAGCGCCCGGCUGCCACGCUGGUGCACCGUUUUCCAAGAUGGAUGCCACAUUCUGGUUUAACUGUCUCAGUGUCCUUGAAAACAUCUGGCAAGGGCUCAAAGGCCACACAGGAAAUAUCUUUCUGUAUUGAUUUUUCCAUGUCCUUCCUUUAGCUCCAAAUAGUCAUGUGUUCUUUCUAAAGGAUUUUUCCUCUUUCGAUCCUAAUGCCUGGUUCUCAUCACCUAGAAAGUGAAGUGUAGUUGAGCUACCAUUACUCGAGGUGGAUAGGUAGCUGCCAUCAUUACAAGAAUGAAAACUAGUAGAAUUAACACAUGCAUGGAAGAAAAAGACCUGUUGGGCCAUAGCGUAAGUCAUUAGUGUGACCCUGUAUAAUGGAGAAGACAUAGCAGAGACAAGGUCUCACAUGAGGGAAAUGGGGAAAAUGUACUAAUAUAAUGAGAGUGUGCCCGUUAUAGGUCAUGUUCUGCCAUGUAGGCCUGUUCUGCUGCGCAUGGAAAAGAAAUUCCCAGCAAUCUGAGUAGCCCUUCCUUCAGACUGUUACAGCUCCACAUGCUGCUGCAUCAUUUUAUAGGCCUCGGCUGUGGAGAAUUAAUUAACUAUGCAAUAAAAUGACUAAUUAAUAACAUUUACCAAUCUGCUGAACUCCGGUUGUUUCUUCCACACUUGGACAAGAAAUGGGAAGAUAUACAACCAAAUAAACAUAGUCUUCUUCCCUGUAGGACAAGGCCCCUGCUAUUCAGGUACAUAUGUGAGUGCUGAGUCCUUUUUCAUGGACACCUGUUAAUUCACCUUUGAGGUUUGGUUGCAGCUUUCUUUUGCUUUAUGUCAGAGGCAGUAUGAGAAAGGGGAGCCCUGGCACUCUUCCCCUGUCUGUCUGCACACUUCUCUACAUGAAACACUCAUAGACCUUUGGUCCAAAACUGAGAGUCACUUACCCUUAGAGGUCCUGGGUCACUGGGGCCAGACGAUGCCCAGAGGGACCUACUUUUACCAAGUGGGUGAUCAUAUAUGGCCAGACCUGGGGACAACUGACCCAGAUAUAUCUUGCCCCUCUCAUCCUUGUUCCUUGCCAAAAAUAACUUUCAAGCUCUCAUACGUGCUGGAAGUGGCUGAAAUAUAUGCAUAUUCAGCCUUCAAUAGAAUGUAAAGUGGGUAACUCAUUCCAUGUA